rnacentral:piRNA from 1 species
UGGAGCCAUUACUAGACUCACUGUCUGU